rnacentral:rRNA from 1 species
AUUGAACGCUGGCGGCAGGCCUAACACAUGCAAGUCGAGCGGAUGAAGGGAGCUUGCUCCUGGAUUCAGCGGCGGACGGGUGAGUAAUGCCUAGGAAUCUGCCUGGUAGUGGGGGAUAACGUCCGGAAACGGGCGCUAAUACCGCAUACGUCCUGAGGGAGAAAGUGGGGGAUCUUCGGACCUCUCGCUAUCAGAUGAGCCUAGGUCGGAUUAGCUAGUUGGUGGGGUAAAGGCCUACCAAGGCGACGAUCCGUAACUGGUCUGAGAGGAUGAUCAGUCACACUGGAACUGAGACACGGUCCAGACUCCUACGGGAGGCAGCAGUGGGGAAUAUUGGACAAUGGGCGAAAGCCUGAUCCAGCCAUGCCGCGUGUGUGAAGAAGGUCUUCGGAUUGUAAAGCACUUUAAGUUGGGAGGAAGGGCAGUAAGUUAAUACCUUGCUGUUUUGACGUUACCAACAAAAUAAGCACCGGCUAACUUCGUG